rnacentral:rRNA from 1 species
UACGUAGGCAGCGAGCGUUGUUCGGAGUUACUGGGCGUAAAGCGUGCGUAGGCGGUGGCCCAAGUCUGGUGUGAAAUCUCCCGGCUCAACUGGGAGGGUGCGCCGGAAACUGGGCUGCUGGAGUACGGGAGAGGCAAGCGGAAUUCCUGGUGUAGCGGUGAAAUGCGUAGAUAUCAGGAGGAACACCCGUGGUGCAGACGGCUUGCUGGACCGUGACUGACGCUGAGGCACGAAAGCGUGGGUAGCAAACAGG